ACGAACGCUGGCGGCGUGCCUAAUACAUGCAAGUUGAGCGCUGAAGGUUGGUACUUGUACCAACUGGAUGAGCAGCGAACGGGUGAGUAACGCGUGGGGAAUCUGCCUUUGGGCGGGGGACAACAUUUGGAAACGAAUGCUAAUACCGCAUAAAAACUUUAAACACAAGUUUUAAGUUUGAAAGAUGCAAUUGCAUCACUCAAAGAUGAUCCCGCGUUGUAUUAGCUAGUUGGUGAGGUAAAGGCUCACCAAGGCGAUGAUACAUAGCCGACCUGAGAGGGUGAUCGGCCACAUUGGGACUGAGACACGGCCCAAACUCCUACGGGAGGCAGCAGUAGGGAAUCUUCGGCAAUGGACGAAAGUCUGACCGAGCAACGCCGCGUGAGUGAAGAAGGUUUUCGGAUCGUAAAACUCUGUUGGUAGAGAAGAACGUUGGUGAGAGUGGAAAGCUCAUCAAGUGACGGUAACUACCCAGAAAGGGACGGCUAACUACGUG
rnacentral:rRNA from 1 species